UACGAAGGGUGCAAGCGUUAAUCGGAAUUACUGGGCGUAAAGGGUGCGUAGGCGGUUCGCCAAGUCAGGUGUGAAAUCCCCGGGCUUAACCUGGGAAUUGCGCUUGAAACUAGCGGGCUUGAGUGUGGCAGAGGGGGGUGGAAUUCCACGUGUAGCAGUGAAAUGCGUAGAGAUGUGGAGGAACACCGAUGGCGAAGGCAGCCCCCUGGGUCAACACUGACGCUCAUGCACGAAAGCGUGGGGAGCAAACAGG
rnacentral:rRNA from 1 species